AUUGAACGCUGGCGGCAGGCUUAACACAUGCAAGUCGAGCGGAGAUGAGGUGCUUGCACCUUAUCUUAGCGGCGGACGGGUGAGUAAUGCCUAGGAAUCUGCCUGUUAGUGGGGGAUAACGCGGGGAAACUCGCGCUAAUACCGCAUACGUCCUACGGGAGAAAGCGGGGGCUCUUCGGACCUCGCGCUAACAGAUGAGCCUAGGUCGGAUUAGCUAGUUGGUGGGGUAAUGGCCCACCAAGGCGACGAUCCGUAACUGGUCUGAGAGGCUGAUCAGUCACACUGGACCUGAGAAACGGUCCAGACUCCUACGGGAGGAAGCCGUGGGGAAUAUUGGACAAUGGGCGAAAGCCUGAUCCAGCCAUGCCGCGUGUGUGAAGAAGGUCUUCGGAUUGUAAAGCACUUUAAGUCGGGAGGAAGGGCUGCAGGUUAAUACCUUGCAGCCUUGACGUUACCGACAGAAUAAGCACCGGCUAACUUCGUGCCAGCAGCCGCCGUAA
rnacentral:rRNA from 1 species